CCUACGGGAGGCAGCAGUGGGGAAUAUUGCACAAUGGGCGAAAGCCUGAUGCAGCAACGCCGCGUGAGCGAUGAAGGCCUUCGGGUCGUAAAAUUCUGUCCUUGGGGAAGAUAAUGACGGUACCCAAGGAGGAAGCCCCGGCUAACUACGUGCCAGCAGCCGCGGUAAUACGUAGGGGGCGAGCGUUGUCCGGAAUUACUGGGCGUAAAGGGCGCGCAGGCGGAUAUUUAAGUCAGCUGUAAAAGGCAUGAGCUCAACUCAUGUAUGCGGUUGAAACUGGGUAUCUAGAGUGCUGGAGAGGUAGGCGGAAUUCCCGGUGUAGCGGUGAAAUGCGUAGAUAUCGGGAAGAACACCAGUGGCGAAGGCGGCUUACUGGACUGUAACUGACGCUGAGUCACGAAAGCGUGGGUAGCAAACAGGAUUAGAUACCCCUGUAGUC
rnacentral:rRNA from 1 species